UGCCUAAACUCGUAGCAAUACGGGCAUGGCUUUCAAAACCCUUCGCAGAUACUGAACCCCGUGUUCAGCGACUCUGCGAAGGGUCAUAUUCCGAAAGGAGUAUGGGCGGCCGAAAGGUUGCU
rnacentral:sRNA from 1 species